AACCCGGCGGAACCCAGCGGAACCCAUCGGAACCUGGCAGAACUCAUCAGAACCCAUCGGAACCCAUCAGAACCCGGCAGAACUCAUCAGAACCCAGCGGAACCCAGCGGAACCCAUCAGAACCCCACAGAACCCGGCCGAACCCCGCAGAACCCCACAGAACCCAUCAGAACCCCGCAGAACCCGGCAGAACCCAGCAGAACCCAUCAGAACCCAGCAGAACCCGGCAGAACCCGGCAGAACCCAGCAGAACCCCACAGAACCCAUCAGAACCCCGCAGAACCCGGCAGAACCCAGCAGAACCCCGCAGAACCCAUCAGAACCCGGCAGAACCCGGCAGAACCCCGCAGAACCCAUCAGAACCCCGCAGAACCCAUCAGAACCCAGCAGAACCCAGCAGAACCCAGCAGAACCCCGCAGAACCCCGCAGAACGAUUCAGAACCCAUCAGAACCCGGCAGAACCCCGCAGAACCCAUCAGAACCCCGCAGAACCCAUCAGAACGAUUCAGAACCCAUCAGAACGAUUCAGAACCCAUCAGAACCCCGCAGAACCCAGCAGAACCCAUCAGAACCCAGCAGAACCCGGCAGAACCCGGCAGAACCCGGCAGAACCCGGCAGAACCCGGCAGAACCCGGCAGAACCCGGCAGAACCCGGCAGAACCCAGCAAAACCCAUCAGAACCCCGCAGAACCCAGCAGAACCCCGCAGAACCCAGCAGAACCCCGCAGAACCCGGCAGAACCCAGCAGAACCCAGCAGAACCCAGCAGAACCCAGCAGAACCCCGCAGAACCCGAAGCCGGUGAGCGCUGCUCGCUCCCGGAGCUGCCGGGGCUCUGCAGUCCCGGCCGGGCUCUCGGAGCUCCUGGAAUCGCUUUGAGCAGGAGGUGCCUGCCCCUGCUGCUCUGGCAUGGAGGGGAGAAGUGACCCAGCAUUCAAGCUAUGCCCAGCCUGCCUGGAGCAGCCUUAUCCCUGGAGAAAGAAUCCUUCACCCAGUGACCAGAGGAGGCUUUGGUAAGAGGAAUUAGAGUUAAAAAUCGUAUGCUACUGAAAGUGGGGUUGGAAUCUUUUCUGUGGAGCUUUCCUGUGGGUCCUCAUGGUGGUGUAAAUGUGCUGUUGUGCCUCUAGAAGGGAAGCAGCUGAGGUGCAGGACUCUUUCCUUGUCUGGAAUAUUGCAGUGCACUCCUGGGGAGCUGAGAAAUGCAUCUUGCAGGGCUGAACCUGCUAGGGGGCUGUAGCCUAGGCCAGGCUGGGGGGGAAGGUGUGGGGAGCAUCUGAGGGUAACAAAUGUAAAAUUGGGUGGGUCUGGCCUUGGGAGAAAGGAGAGAGCCACGUUCAGAGGGUUCUCCAAAGAGCCCUCAAAGUCCUGAUAAAGGAGGAGGCUGAGUUGAACAAGUUUUAAAAGGUUCUGUGACAGUAAGAUCUCUUCAAUGGAUCAGCCUGGCAGCAUCCUCUGUCCCAGCAGACUGACCUGGGGCCAGCUCAGGAACAUCUUGACUUCGAUAAACUUGUUUUUCCAGGCCCACUUCAGCUGUAACCCCCACAUUCCUGUUUGGGCUGAUGAGCUGGAGCAAGGAUGGGCUCC
ensembl:lncRNA